GAAGUGCGAUAAGCAAUGCGAAUUGCAGAACCGUGAGUCAUCAGAUUUUUGAACGCAUCUGGCGCCAAUUGGCUCUCCAAUUGGCAUGCUUGUUUCAGUGUCUCUUUAUCUCAUCACCCAGAUCAUAAUGCGAGAGAUGCCCUUCUCUUGCUAAGCAUGAAAGCACUCUGCGCUCUGCGAGCGACUUCGACUUGUUCGAUGGUCGCACUCAAUGCAGCAGUCACAUUGCUCACAAUGUGAACUCAUUGAGAGCUGAGGCAGUGCAGCGUAAGCUGUAAGUGCUUAGUCAUACAAACUUACUUGCAUCUGAAAUCAAGCAGGAUCACCCGCUGAACUUAA
rnacentral:misc_RNA from 1 species